rnacentral:rRNA from 1 species
UACAGAGGGUGCUAGCGUUGUUCGGAAUUACUGGGCGUAAAGGGCGCGUAGGCGGCCUGUUGAGUUAAGUGUGAAAGCCCAAGGCUCAACCUUGGAACUGCAUUUAACACUGGCAGGCUAGAGAUCGCAAGAGGACAGUGGAAUUCCUAGUGUAGAGGUGAAAUUCGUAGAUAUUAGGAAGAACAUCAAUGGCGAAGGCAGCUGUCUGGGGCGAUACUGACGCUAAGGCGCGAAAGCGUGGGGAGCAAACGGG